CGCAGCUAAACACAUUUGGUCGGCCUUUCAUCUUCUCCUUCCUUAUUGCACAUUAUUUUGAUCCUCUACUGCCGAAUCUCUUGAUUUCUUCCCACACCCAUAACCCUAAUUUCUGAUUCACCCCUCAUCUUCAAUCAUUUGGUUUCAUCUACAAUCCAUCUUGUGGCUUAUUCUUUUAUAAAUGAAACAAGCCAACAUAGGCCCUACACUCAGAAAGUCGAUGUGUACUGUUUUGGAAUAGUGCUUUGGUAGCUGAUAAUUCCGGAAUAUGAUUGUUGUUUAGGCAGCAUUUGAUGUAGUCAACAAGGGAGUUCGUCCAAUAAUCCCACCUGACUGCCUUCCUGUUCUAAGUUGGUUGCCUAUCAAAAGUGUUGGACGCAGAGUUGGUUAUGACUGUUACUCAGCGCAGCAUUUGCUGAUGAUUAUGCUGAUGAUGUGAGGUGCACAUGUUGAUUAUUAUGCACUGAUAAUGCAAUGAUAACAUGAGGUGCUGGCUGUUGCGAACUGCUACGGGUUAGCUUAGAGGUCUGAUGAAUGGUAUCGUUUUGCUGCAGACCUAGUUUUGUGUAUCCCCACUUGCUACUGCUGUAAGGAGUUGCUGACCUUAAGCUGUUGUUGCGGGUUAACUGAGAGGUCUGAUGAAUGGGAAGUACAUUGUAUUCCUACCAGACUGCUACUGACUAUCUUGUGAGAUUUUGCAUGUUACUAGGAAUAGAUUGUUAUGCAUCUUAUUGAUCGAUUUUAGUGUCUAUUUUGUAAUUGAAUUUGUAUGGAACUACAAUCAAAUUUGUAUAGACUAGAUGAUAGCUGUAUCUUUGGAGGUGUGGCUUCAGUCUCUUGAA